rnacentral:rRNA from 1 species
UACGGAGGGGACUAGCGUUGUUCGGAAUUACUGGGCGUAAAGCGCACGUAGGCGGAUUUGCAAGUCAGGGGUGAAAUCCCGGGGCUCAACCUCGGAACUGCCUUUGAUACUGCAAAUCUCGAGUCCGGAAGAGGUGAGUGGAAUUCCUAGUGUAGAGGUGAAAUUCGUAGAUAUUAGGAAGAACACCAGUGGCGAAGGCGGCUCACUGGGCCGGUACUGACGCUGAGGUGCGAAAGCGUGGGGAGCAAACAGG